AGCCUAACACAUGCAAGUCGAACGGUAACAGGUCUUCGGACGCUGACGAGUGGCGAACGGGUGAGUAAUACAUCGGAACGUGCCCAGUCGUGGGGGAUAACUACUCGAAAGAGUAGCUAAUACCGCAUACGAUCUGAGGAUGAAAGCGGGGGACCUUCGGGCCUCGCGCGAUUGGAGCGGCCGAUGGCAGAUUAGGUAGUUGGUGGGAUAAAAGCUUACCAAGCCGACGAUCUGUAGCUGGUCUGAGAGGACGACCAGCCACACUGGGACUGAGACACGGCCCAGACUCCUACGGGAGGCAGCAGUGGGGAAUUUUGGACAAUGGGCGAAAGCCUGAUCCAGCAAUGCCGCGUGCAGGAUGAAGGCCUUCGGGUUGUAAACUGCUUUUGUACGGAACGAAAAAGCUUCUCCUAAUACGAGAGGCCCAUGACGGUACCGUAAGAAUAAGCACCGGCUAACUACGUGCCAGCAGCCGCGGUAAUACGUAGGGUGCGAGCGUUAAUCGGAAUUACUGGGCGUAAAGCGUGCGCAGGCGGUUAUGUAAGACAGAUGUGAAAUCCCCGGGCUCAACCUGGGAACUGCAUUUGUGACUGCAUGGCUAGAGUACGGUAGAGGGUGAUGGAAUUCCGCGUGUAGCAGUGAAAUGCGUAGAUAUGCGG
rnacentral:rRNA from 1 species